AACGAACGCUGGCGGCAUGCCUAACACAUGCAAGUCGAACGAGACCUUCGGGUCUAGUGGCGCACGGGUGCGUAACGCGUGGGAACCUGCCCUUAGGUUCGGAAUAACUCCCCGAAAGGGGUGCUAAUACCGGAUAAUGUCUUCGGACCAAAGAUUUAUCGCCUUUGGAUGGGCCCGCGUUGGAUUAGCUAGUUGGUAGGGUAAAAGCCUACCAAGGCGACGAUCCAUAGCUGGUCUGAGAGGAUGAUCAGCCACACUGGGACUGAGACACGGCCCAGACUCCUACGGGAGGCAGCAGUGGGGAAUAUGGGACAAUGGGCGAAAGCCUGAUGCAGCAAUGCCGCGUGAGUGAUGAAGGCCGUAGGGUGGUAAAGCUCUUUUACCCGGGAUGAUAAUGACAGUACCGGGAGAAUAAGCUCCGGCUAACUCCGU
rnacentral:rRNA from 1 species